CAUGUGGUUUAAUUCGAAGCAACGCGAAGAACCUUACCAGGGCUUGACAUGCCGCUGACCGGUGCAGAGAUGCAUCUUUAUCCUUCAGGGUACAGCGGACACAGGUGGUGCAUGGUUGUCGUCAGCUCGUGUCGUGAGAUGUUGGGUUAAGUCCCGCAACGAGCGCAACCCUUGUCUUUAGUUGCCAUCAUUAAGUUGGGCACUCUAAAGAGACUGCCGAUGACAAAUCGGAGGAAGGUGGGGAUGACGUCAAAUCAUCAUGCCCUUUAUGUCCUGGGCUACACACGUGCUACAAUGGUCGGUACAACGAGAAGCAAGCCAGCGAUGGCAAGCAAAUCUCUAAAAGCCGAUCCCAGUUCGGAUUGCAGGCUGCAACUCGCCUGCAUGAAGUCGGAGUUGCUAGUAAUCGCGGAUCAGAAUGCCGCGGUGAAUGCGUUCCCGGGUCUU
rnacentral:rRNA from 2 species